rnacentral:lncRNA from 1 species
AUGGAUGCAUUCUCCCUCAGUGGAGGCGCCACGGCCCAGCCGCCGCUCCGUUUCCUCCACGAGGCUCGAACUCUGUCCCACCAGAUUCCGAGAGCGGCAGGGGUGGGCUGUAACCAGAAGGCACUCGCCACAACCUUCAGGAGUCGGGGCGUGACCCUCACCUUGACUCUGGGCGGUUUGUGGGGACCAACUCCUUCCUUGCUGCCGCUCUUUGCUCUGAGUUUCCAGGGGCCCCAGACCCGCUGCGGGACCCUCCACCCCCACCCCCGGGCCUCACUCCAGCGGCAGGGGACUGUUUCCCCGCUGACCUCGGGGGCAGAGGUCGAAGGCCCGCUCCCGGACGCCGGAGGCCGGCCCCGGCGCCGCCGCCAAGCCCGCGCGGCCUCACCUGCCUCUCCCCGGAAGCCCCAGCGCCGUCCCGCCCCGCCCCGCCUCCCCGCCCCACGACUUCGGAGUCGCGGUCCCGGGAUCCGCAAGGCAAUGGCGCGGCCGGAAACUGGCCCCGCGACUUCCUCGGGCCGGAUCCGGGCUGCGCCGGGCCUGUGGGCGGGGCGGGGGGGCUGCGGCUUCCUCCUUCCUGCUUCCGGCUCGGCGGUGAGAUUUUUCUAUAAAGAACACGGAUUGUACGAUAGGGAGACCAAAAAACCCUUUAGAGUAAGCCACUCAACAUAG